AGGAUAAAUUCGCGAGGAAACAGACACAUACAACAAUAACAAGGUUUUAUCAUCAAUGAUAAUCUCUACCUAGAUGCAUUUGGUAGAAAAUAAAGUGGUGCUCCAACUAUUGGUUUUCAACUCAGGCACAAUAAGGCAAUUAGUGGGUGACAAAAUGUUCGCCAUAUAGCAAAUGGUUUCUUUGACCUUCACCAAAGGUUCCUACAAAGUUUUCCUGUUCUAGCCCAAGCCCUAGAAGAAGAAAUGGAAAGGAUAUUUUGGUGUUUAUUUAGGUUUUAUUGACCAUGGCUUCAUGUUUGUAAAGCUUAGAAGGCACAUGAGCUGCAAAGAUUUGUGACUUCUGAAACUCUUGCAUACAUACUAGGUGUGAAUCAUUGUACCCAAUUUAUUGUUUGGAAUGAUAUGGAUUUGGAUUUGAACUACAUAUUCAUUCAUGUCUUCAUCUUGGUAAGAAGGAGAAACUAUACACAUGGGUGUUUGCUUUUCUUGAUUUCAUUGGCUGAAUGAAUAUCACGAAGACGAUUAAGGCUUGGUUGUUAAGUAUAUUUUGAUCAUUGUAAUUGGUAUUGACAUUGAAAAUGUAAUAUCCCAAAAUUGAUGUAUCAUGCAAAAUAUUGG